AUUGAACGCUGGCGGCAUGCCUUACACAUGCAAGUCGAACGGUAACAGGUCUUCGGAUGCUGACGAGUGGCGAACGGGUGAGUAAUACAUCGGAACGUGCCUAGUAGGGGGGGAUAACUACUCGAAAGAGUGGCUAAUACCGCAUGAGAUCUACGGAUGAAAGCAGGGGAUCGCAAGACCUUGUGCUACUAGAGCGGCCGAUGGCGGAUUAGGUAGUUGGUGGGAUAAAAGCUUACCAAGCCGACGAUCUGUAGCUGGUCUGAGAGGACGAUCAGCCACACUGAGACUGAGACACGGCCCAGACUCCUACGGGAGGCAGCAGUGGGGAAUUUUGGACAAUGGGCGAAAGCCUGAUCCAGCAAUGCCGCGUGCAGGAUGAAGGCCUUCGGGUUGUAAACUGCUUUUGUACGGAACGAAAAGCCCUGGGUUAAUACCCUGGGGUCAUGACGGUACCGUAAGAAUAAGCACCGGCUAACUACGUGCCAGCCGCCGCCGUAA
rnacentral:rRNA from 1 species